GUCAAUAAUUAACUGUCAGCCAAUUAAUAGUUCCUUCACAAAUCAAGUUCCUUUCCUGAAGGUGCAGGCUCUCCGUGGGAAAAUAAUGGCUGGUUAGACGAGGUGUUUGGUGCUGCUACCUUUCAAAGGUGGUGGCUUCAGAAUCAUUUUCUCAGAAUCAUUUCCUUCCAUUGGAACACACAGUUCCAAUGGAAGCAUUUCCUUCCAGGAACUGGAAAUUCAAGGUGACUUUUCUUCAGUCCUGUCAAAGAAAAACCAAAAUACACAUUAUGGGAACAUAAAGCAAAGAAGUACAUUUAUUUAUAAUAUUUUUGAAGGUGUGAAGAGAAGCAGCCUAUAGACUUCCAAGAACUUCCAAAAGUACUUAGAACAAUCAGCAAAAGAACACACCAAAUGAAUACCGGUAUAUUGUUUUAUUGACAUGAUUUUAUUGGCAAAAGGAUUGGCAUUUUUGUCAAUAAAACUCCAUUAAGAUGUAUACGUGUGACAUAAAUUUGUUAAUAAAGU